rnacentral:rRNA from 1 species
GACGGGGGGGGCAAGCGUUGUCCGGAAUCAUUGGGCGUAAAGAGCGUGUAGGCGGCCUGGUAAGUCCGCUGUGAAAGUCCAGGGCUCAACCCUGGAAAGCCGGUGGAUACUGUCGGGCUCGAGUCCGGAAGAGGCGAGUGGAAUUCCUGGUGUAGCGGUGGAAUGCGCAGAUAUCAGGAGGAACACCAAUGGCGAAGGCAGCUCGCUGGGACGGUACUGACGCUAAGGCGCGAAAGCGUGGGGAGCAAACAGG